rnacentral:rRNA from 1 species
GAUGAACGCUGGCGGCGUGCCUAAUACAUGCAAGUCGAGCGAACGGACGAGAAGCUUGCUUCUCUGAUGUUAGCGGCGGACGGGUGAGUAACACGUGGAUAACCUACCUAUAAGACUGGGAUCACUUCGGGAAACCGGAGCUAAUACCGGAUGAUAUUUUGCACCGCAUGGUUCAAUAGUGAAAGACGGUCUUGCUGUCACUUCUAGAUGGAUCCGCGCUGCAUUAGCUAGUUGGUAAGGUAACGGCUUACCAAGGCAACGAUGCAUAGCCGACCUGAGAGGGUGAUCGGCCACACUGGAACUGAGACACGGUCCAGACUCCUACGGGAGGCAGCAGUAGGGAAUCUUACGCAAUGGGCGAAAGCCUGACGGAGCAACGCCGCGUGAGUGAUGAAGGUCUUCGGAUCGUAAAACUCUGUUAUUAGGGAAGAACAGAUGUGGAAGUAACUGUGCACAGCUUGACGGUACCUAAUCAGAAAGCCACGGCUAACUACGUG